rnacentral:rRNA from 1 species
UUUAGUCUACGGGAGGCAGCAGUAGGGAAUAUUGCUCAAUGGGGGAAACCCUGAAGCAGCAACGCCGCGUGGAGGAUGAAGGUUUUCGGAUUGUAAACUCCUUUUGUUAGAGAAGAUAAUGACGGUAUCUAACGAAUAAGCACCGGCUAACUCCGUGCCAGCAGCCGCGGUAAUACGGAGGGUGCAAGCGUUACUCGGAAUCACUGGGCGUAAAGAGCGCGUAGGCGGGAUAGCAAGUCAGAUGUGAAAUCCUAUGGCUUAACCAUAGAACUGCAACUGAUACUGUAUAACUUGAGUGUGAGAGG